CAGCAGCCGCGGUAAUACAGAGGGUGCGAGCGUUAAUCGGAUUUACUGGGCGUAAAGCGUGCGUAGGCGGCUAAUUGAGUCGGAUGUGAAAUCCCCGAGCUUAACUUGGGAAUUGCAUUCGAUACUGGUUAGCUAGAGUGUGGGAGAGGAUGGUAGAAUUCCAGGUGUAGCGGUGAAAUGCGUAGAGAUCUGGAGGAAUACCGAUGGCGAAGGCAGCCAUCUGGCCUAACACUGACGCUGAGGUACGAAAGCAUGGGGAGCAAACAGGAUUAGAUACCCGGGUAGUCCCUGUCUCUUUACA
rnacentral:rRNA from 1 species